ACCCAAUUGAGGAGUCCUAAAUAGAACGAAACGCGCUUCCUGUAU
rnacentral:hammerhead_ribozyme from 1 species